rnacentral:RNase_P_RNA from 1 species
GGAGUCGGCCAGGCAAUCGCUCUUUCGUCAUCAGGACGUGAGGGAGGAAAGUCCGGGCUCCACAGGGCAGGGUGCCAGGUAACGCCUGGGGGGCGUGAGCCUACGGAAAGUGCAACAGAAAGUAUACCGCCCGACCGUGGUCGGGUAAGGGUGAAAUGGUGCGGUAAGAGCGCACCGCGCGGCUGGUAACAGGCGCGGCGAUGGUAAACCCCACCUGGAGCAAGACCAAAUAGGAAUCCGCCAGCUGCGGCCCGCAGUGGAUUCGGGUAGGUCGCUAGAGGCAGGUGGUGACACCUGUCGCAGAUGAAUGAUCGUCCACGACAGAACCCGGCUUAUCGACCGACUCGUCCC